UCCCUGGACAUAAACAAUCACACAAAGUAGGUACAAGAAAACUUGUAUAGUAUGUGUAUUAAUGUGUAUGUGUGUGGAAAUGUCACUUACCUGUAGGAUUAACAGCAUCUGUGUGAUGGGCGUGGGGAGCAGAGAAGUGUUGGUGGGGAGCAGCUCCUCCAUUGGAAGCCUCAUCAGGACGAGAUCCCUGAAGGCUAGAAGGGCCAUCUGCCUUACUGUGAACUCAUGACCCUGGAGUUGAGCAAAAUAUACAGGGAAGGGUAGCAGUUCAAUAAUGUCACUGAUUCAUUAACUGAGAGAACACGGCGUUGCAUUGGUCAUUCCGACAAUGAAUAAUCAGUGCGUGAAGGCUUGGAUGAAUGUCCUAUGACUAGUAAAGAACGCUGCACUUUCAAAGCCUGUUUGGAGGACAUCAAGUUGUUACAGUGAAGAAGACAAAUUAAACCAUUCUAACAUUGGAUCUGAAAGGAGGAGGUUAUACAGGAGGCUCUUCUCACGCACAGUGCAGUAGAGCUCCUGGAGACGGCUGUAAGUCAUAAACUCGGCCAGGUUCACCCCAUUGUCCACAAACAGGCGAACAAAAUCCGGCUUGUCAUUGACCAAGGCAUCCAUCAUGACCUCUUCAAGAUCAUCUGCCUAUGAGAAAAAUAUUAUAAAUAUGGCCACAGCCAGUUUCAGCUCAUCCAGGAAGUCCUGUGCCUCCUGACUCUGACUUUUAUUGGCUGAGGGGAAAGUGAACAGAAGACAAAAACUUGGUUAAACAAGGCAAAAUGACUCAAAUCUGUGUUGCAUUAUAAAAGUGAUGAAUAACAAUUAAAAUUGCAUUAAAUAUUAUUAAGGGAGGAAAAAGCUGUGACCUUUAGGAGGCUAAUUAUUUGGUAGAUGGUAAUAACAUGCUGGAAACACUAACCUUUAACUAGUGCUUUGAGGAUAACUGUGUCUAGAUCGGAGUUCUCCUGCUCGGGGUCAUGUACCAUCAACAGGUGGAGAUUAUCCAUAAUUUUCAGAAUCUAGUAGGAAAAACCCCACAAAACUGGAAAAUUCAUUGGUGAAAUGUAACACUAAUUUUGUUAGAGCAAAUACAAAAGUUAACGCAUUUUGUUGUUUUUUGUAAUGCAUUUAGCUCUUACCAAUUUGAUCCAGGAAGCGACUGCACCACUUUGGCCAUUGGGAAAUGUGUCGAUCAGAAGUUCUUGGACAAUGUCAGCAUCCCAACAAGCCUGGUUUAUCAGUGUAACUAAAAUGUCUGCUACACCCCCCGAGCCAGCCAGGAUCAGCCAUGGCGUUGAAUUCUGAAUUGUCUUGUACAUUCUCUACAUGUGGAAUGGAGCCCAAGUAACAAACAUCUUACUUUAUUUUAGUAACUUAAGUGAAACAUCCAUUUGAAAUCAUUCUGUUUCAUUGAAAAAUAUCAUAUUAUUACAGACCUGCAAUAUCCUUGGUUCUCCAUGAACAAGCAGACAUAAGACAGGAAUUUCAAAGCUGCCAGGCCCUGAGAAAAUAAGGAUUAAGAGAAAAAAGUAUUUAGACUAAUAAAAGCUACAGGAAAAGUCACAAAUAAGGAUCUCAAUGAACUAGAGACAAUUAUGCACGUACCUCCAUGUCCAGUACGUUGUAAGGAGAUGUGUUUUAGCAGUUUGACACGCAUGUCACUGGUAGCACCAGGCUUCUUCGGGUCCUCUUCCACUAGGAUGAAAUGAGAGUGGUUGCAGUCCAGAGAGUACACAGUCCCAUGGGGAAGAUCCUCUGAGGGGUAGGGCGCUGGCUGAUCAGGCUGUAGAUUUAAAGAACAAAAUUAAGUUUGCUGUUAAAGGGGUGGUUGAUGGGAGAAAAACCUUUCCAUUUAUCCCAAAUUUAGUGGGUAAUUUGUAUUUGAAUUAUACCAUAUUAAUGUGCUUUUAGUAAAAACUCAGACUUUUAUGGUGGGUGCUCCACAUAAUCUAAGUCUAAUAAUAAUAAUAAUAAUAAUAAUAAUAAUAAUAACAUAUUGUGUAACAAAGACAUCUAAUCUCUGAUUUUUUUUUACUUGCUAUAACAAGACAUUUAACUGUUAUGGAAGGUUUCUCCAGUGUUAGCAGUCAGCACUUUGUAAUGGUCCAUAAGUUUGGUCUCAGAACUAGAGGAAUUUAUAGUUUCUCUGUAACAUGACAAAGUGGGGGUUUGUUUGUUUGUUUGUUUGUUUUAUUAACUUUAAGGGAGAGGAAAAAAGAGGCUGGUGUGAGAAUGACUGUAUAUAGCUGUUAUAAUGUAAGUGAUAAUAGGAACUAAUGUGUCUCACAGACUUUCCAUAACUUUAAAUGUAACUAUAAAUUGCUAAAAGUACAUUUCAUUCUUUAAUAAAGUAAAAAUCAUAAUCCUUUCACAUUUCUGCUAUAAGAGGAAUAAAACACUUCAGGAUCUUAUUAAAAAAAGAAUCGUCUUCAGGUUAGUAAUAGUAACUCUGCUUCACAUUGGGCAUCGAGUAUUUUCCUAUAACAGCACACCCCUUGUGUUUUAUUUCAUACAUCAAUGACAAACAUAUAAAAUAGGAAAUGUUCAUAAUGA